rnacentral:rRNA from 1 species
UGGGGAAUAUUGGACAAUGGGCGAAAGCCUGACCCAGCAACGCCGCGUGAAGGAUGAAGUAUUUCGGUAUGUAAACUUCGUAAGAAUAGGAAGAAUAAAUGACGGUACUAUUUGUAAGGUCCGGCUAACUACGUGCCAGCAGCCGCGGUAAUACGUAGGGACCAAGCGUUGUUCGGAUUUACUGGGCGUAAAGGGCGCGUAGGCGGUGUGUCAAGUCAGUUGUGAAAUCUCCGAGCUUAACUCGGAACGGUCAACUGAUACUGUCACACUAGAGUACAGAAGGGGCAAUCGGAAUUCUUGGUGUAGCGGUGAAAUGCGUAGAUAUCAAGAGGAACACCUGAGGCGAAGGCGGGUUGCUGGGCUGAUACUGACGCUGAGGCGCGAAAGCUAGGGUAGCAAACGGGAUUAGAUACCCAGGUAGUCCCUGAGCGGGCUGGCAAGGCGCAU